rnacentral:rRNA from 1 species
UACAGAGGGGGCAAGCGUUGUUCGGAAUUACUGGGCGUAAAGGGCGCGUAGGUGGCCUUCUAAGUUGAACGUGAAAUCCCUGGGCUCAACCCAGGAACUGCGUCCAAGACUGGGAGGCUUGAAUCCGGGAGAGGGAUGUGGAAUUCCGGGUGUAGCGGUGGAAUGCGUAGAGAUCCGGAAGAACACCGGUGGCGAAGGCGGCCUGCUGGGCAGUAGCUGACGCUGAAGCGCGACAGCGUGGGGAGCAAACAGG